AACCUUAUGGACCUGCGGGCGUAUACCUGCGGAGGGAUCAUUACCGAGUUUACAACUCCCAAACCCCUGUGAACAUACCUAUACGUUGCCUCGGCGGAUCAGCCCGCGCCCCGUAAAAAGGGACGGCCCGCCCGAGGACCCCUAAACUCUGUUUUUAGUGGAACUUCUGAGUAAAACAAACAAAUAAAUCAAAACUUUCAGCAACGGAUCU
rnacentral:misc_RNA from 1 species